rnacentral:rRNA from 1 species
AUUGAACGCUAGCGGGAUGCUUUACACAUGCAAGUCGAACGAGUGGCGGACGGGUGAGUAAUAUAUCGGAACGUGCCCAGUAGCGGGGGAUAACUACUCGAAAGAGUGCUAAUACCGCAUACUUUUGGAGCGGCCGAUAUCGGAUUAGCUAGUUGUUGGGGUAAAGGCUCACCAAGGCAACGAUCCGUAGCUGGUUUGAGAGGACGACCAGCCACACGGGGACUGAGACACGGCCCAGACUCCUACGGGAGGCAGCAGUGGGGAAUUUUGGACAAUGUGGGAAACCCUGAUCCAGCCAUCCCGCGUGCAUGAGAAGGCCUUCGGGUUUUAAAGUACUUUUGGCAGAGAAGCGGUAUCUGAAGAAUAAGCAACGGCUAACUACGUUCCAGCAGCCGCGGUAAUAC